rnacentral:rRNA from 1 species
GAUGAACGCUGGCGGCGUGCCUAAUACAUGCAAGUCGAGCGAACAGACGAUGAUCUUGCUCCUCUGACGUUAUCGGCUGACGGGUGUGUAACUCGUUUAUAACCUACCUAUUAUUCUUGUAUAACUUCGGGAAACCUUCUCUAAUACCGGCUAAUAUAUUCUACCGCAUUUUUCAAUUGUUUAUUACGUUUUUUCUUUCUCUUUUCGUUGGUUCCGCGCCGCAUUAGCUAGUUGUUACGGUAACCGCUUACCAAGGCAACGAUGCGUAGCCGAAGUGAGAGGGGGAUAGGACAAACAGGAACUGAGACACGGUAAAGACGACUACGGGAGGAAGCAGAAGGGAAUAGUCCGCAAAGGGGGAAAGCAUGACGGAGCAAAGCCGCGUGAGAGAAGAAGGACUGCGGAUCGUAAAACUCUGUUAUUAGGGAAGAAAAAAUGUGUAAGUAACUAUGAACGGAAUGACGGUAACAAAUCAGAAAGCCACGGCUAACUACGUG